rnacentral:rRNA from 1 species
GACGAACGCUGGCGGCGUGCUUAACACAUGCAAGUCGAACGGUGACCCAGGGCUUGCCCUGGUGAUCAGUGGCGAACGGGUGAGUAACACGUGGGGCAACCUGCCCCUGACUUCGGGAUAACUCCUCGAAAGAGGAGCUAAUACCGGAUACGACCACUUCGGACAUCCGAUGGUGGUGGAAAGUUUUCGGUCAGGGAUGGGCCCGCGGCCUAUCAGCUAGUUGGUGGGGUAAUGGCCUACCAAGGCGACGACGGGUAGCCGGCCUGAGAGGGCGACCGGCCACACUGGGACUGAGACACGGCCCAGACUCCUACGGGAGGCAGCAGUGGGGAAUAUUGCGCAAUGGGCGAAAGCCUGACGCAGCGACGCCGCGUGAGGGAUGAAGGCCUCGGGUUGUAAACCGUACUUUCUAGCAGGACGAAGCGAAAGUGACGGUACCUGCAGAAGAAGACACCGGCUAACUACGUGCCAGCAGCCGCGGUAA